rnacentral:rRNA from 1 species
GACGAACGCUGGCGGCGUGCUUAACACAUGCAAGUCGAACGGAAAGGCCCUGCUUUUGUGGGGUGCUCGAGUGGCGAACGGGUGAGUAACACGUGAGUAACCUGCCCUUGACUUUGGGAUAACUUCAGGAAACUGGGGCUAAUACCGGAUAGGAUCUCCUGCUGCAUGGUGGGGGUUGGAAAGUUUCGGCGGUUGGGGAUGGACUCGCGGCUUAUCAGCUUGUUGGUGGGGUAGUGGCUUACCAAGGCUUUGACGGGUAGCCGGCCUGAGAGGGUGACCGGCCACAAUGGGACUGAGAUACGGCCCAGACUCCUACGGGAGGCAGCAGUGGGGAAUAUUGCACAAUGGGCGGAAGCCUGAUGCAGCAACGCCGCGUGCGGGAUGACGGCCUUCGGGUUGUAAACCGCUUUCGCCUGUGACGAAGCGUGAGUGACGGUAAUGGGUAAAGAAGCAACGGCUAACUACGUG